AGUGAAGCUAUCAGGUCCCGGGCUUUUCUUCGUUGUGCACAUCAAUUUUAAUAGGUCCUGGAUUACAGUACAGUAAGCCAAGGUACAAAUCUCUGUGAUGCUCCAGGGGCCUUCAGAUAACAAGUACUUCUGGGAAGAAAUGAAAAGACCAACUGCCAGUGUUUGUUGAAGAAGGGCUGUUUUUCCUCACAUGAUGCAACAGACGGCCUUGACAGACUGAUGGGUGGGAAGGAAGAAACCUACAUCUCCAUCUACUCGGCUCCUAUUGACUCAUUCUACCAUGCCACAUCAGACUUACAUAUUCAUGUCUUUUCUUCUAAACCCUCAGCCAUCUAGAAUUGAGCUGAUUUGAAUAAACUAUGAAAACAGCAACCAAAUACAGACAAAACACAUUAUACAUUAUUGCACUCUACAGAUUCUGCAUUUUUAAAAAACAAAUUGAAGUUUCUGUAAACCUAGAUCUAUUGGUGCCAUUU
rnacentral:lncRNA from 1 species